rnacentral:rRNA from 1 species
AGAGUUUGAUUAUGGCUCAGGACGAACGCUGGCGGCGUGCCUAAUACAUGCAAGUCGAGCGAGCUUGCCUAGAUGAUUUUAGUGCUUGCACUAAAUGAAACUAGAUACAAGCGAGCGGCGGACGGGUGAGUAACACGUGGGUAACCUGCCCAAGAGACUGGGAUAACACCUGGAAACAGAUGCUAAUACCGGAUAACAACACUAGACGCAUGUCUAGAGUUUGAAAGAUGGUUCUGCUAUCACUCUUGGAUGGACCUGCGGUGCAUUAGCUAGUUGGUAAGGUAACGGCUUACCAAGGCAAUGAUGCAUAGCCGAGUUGAGAGACUGAUCGGCCACAUUGGGACUGAGACACGGCCCAAACUCCUACGGGAGGCAGCAGUAGGGAAUCUUCCACAAUGGACGAAAGUCUGAUGGAGCAACGCCGCGUGAGUGAAGAAGGGUUUCGGCUCGUAAAGCUCUGUUGGUAGUGAAGAAAGAUAGAGGUAGUAACUGGCCUUUAUUUGACGGUAAUUACUUAGAAAGUCACGGCUAACUACGUGCCAGCAGCCGCGGUAAUACGUAGGUGGCAAGCGUUGUC